rnacentral:rRNA from 1 species
CACGUAGGGCGCGAGCGUUGUCCGGAAUUAUUGGGCGUAAAGAGCUCGUAGGCGGCCUGUUGCGUCCGCUGUGAAAGCCCGGGGCUUAACCCCGGGUCGGCAGUGGAUACGGGCAGGCUAGAGGUAGGUAGGGGAGAAUGGAAUUCCCGGUGUAGCGGUGAAAUGCGCAGAUAUCGGGAGGAACACCGGUGGCGAAGGCGGCGACCUGGUCCUUAACUGACGCUGAGGCGCGAAAGCGUGGGGAGCAAACAGG